GAACAUCAAAACUUUAAAUCAAGAUUUCUCACUCAAUAUUGCAUCAUUUUAAAAAGUAAACACAUCUACAUCAUCACCAUAGCAUGUAGUUUCAUUUAGGCAUAAGAAAUGAAAAAUCAAGAUUUCUCACUCAAUAUUGCAUCAUUUUAAAAAGUAAACACAUCUACAUCAUCACCAUAGCAUGUAGUUUCAUUUAGGCAUAAGAAAUGAGCGAAAUAAGAGAGUCAAAAUUUGAGUUACUGGAAAUGGCGCCUUCCAAAACUUAAGUAUGGUGAUGAGAUACGCUCCAG
rnacentral:lncRNA from 1 species